AUUGAACGCUGGCGGCAGGCCUAACACAUGCAAGUCGAACGAGUGGCGGACGGGUGAGUAAUGUCUGGGAAACUGCCUGAUGGAGGGGGAUAACUACUGGAAACGGUAGCUAAUACCGCAUACCAUCAGAUGUGCCCAGGUGGGAUUAGCUUGUUGGGGGGGUACCGGGUCACCAAGGCGACGAUCCCUAGCUGGUCUGAGAGGAUGACCAGACACACUGGAACUGAGAGAAUGUCCAGACUCCGACGGUAGGCAGCAGUGGGGAAUAGUGCACAAUGGGCGCAAGCCUGAUGCAGCGAUGCCGCGUGUAUGAAGAAGGCAUUCGGGUUGUAAAGUACUUUCAGCGGGGAGGCGUUACCCGCAGAAGAAGCACCGGCUAACUCCGGGCCAGGAGCCGCGGUAAUAC
rnacentral:rRNA from 1 species